rnacentral:rRNA from 1 species
UACGUAUGGUGCAAGCGUUAUCCGGAUUUACUGGGUGUAAAGGGAGCGUAGGCGGCGCGAUAAGUCUGGUGUGAAAGCCCGGGGCUCAACCCCGGGACUGCAUUGGAAACUGUCGCGCUUGAGUGUCGGAGAGGUAAGUGGAAUUCCUAGUGUAGCGGUGAAAUGCGUAGAUAUUAGGAGGAACACCAGUGGCGAAGGCGACUUACUGGACGAUAACUGACGCUGAGGCUCGAAAGCGUGGGGAGCAAACAGG